rnacentral:rRNA from 1 species
UAGGGAAUCUUCGGCAAUGGGGGCAACCCUGACCGAGCAACGCCGCGUGAGUGAAGAAGGUUUUCGGAUCGUAAAGCUCUGUUGUAAGUCAAGAACGGGUGUGAGAGUGGAAAGUUCACACUGUGACGGUAGCUUACCAGAAAGGGACGGCUAACUACGUGCCAGCAGCCGCGGUAAUACGUAGGUCCCCGAGCGUUGUCCGGAUUUAUUGGGCG